UACGGAGGGUGCAAGCAUUAAUCGGAAUUACUGGGCGUAAAGCGUGCGCAGGCGGUUUGUUAAGUCUGCUGUGAAAUCCCCGAGCUCAACUUGGGAAUUGCAGUGGAUACUGGCAAGCUGGAGUACGGUAGAGGAAGGUGGAAUUCCCGGUGUAGCAGUGAAAUGCGUAGAGAUCGGGAGGAACACCAGUGGCGAAGGCGGCCUCUGGACCAGUACUGACGCUCAUGCACGAAAGCGUGGGGAGCAAACAGG
rnacentral:rRNA from 1 species